UCCGCGCCUCGCGCCAGGACCCCGCCCACGAAGCCGGCGCCCAAGGCCCCGGCUCCGGUACCGGCAUCCGCCGGCGGCCACAGUAACGUCAUUUCGGCCCUGGCAUACAACAUCGUCGACGGUAUCACCCGGGGCGCCGGCAACGCCAUGGGCCACAGGUUCGUCGAGUUCUUUGCCGGGCCACGCACCAUCCAGGUCGUCUCCUCCGAGCCCCAGGCCGCCACCGCCGCCGAUUCGUCCCUCGACUCGUGCGGCGCCCACAACAAGGCCUUCGCCAAUUGCCUCAACCACUCCCAAAGCGACAUCAGCCGGUGCCAGUUCUACCUUGACUUGCUCAACCAGUGCCACCGCGGGUCCAGUAACGCCGGCCUCGCCGCCGCCACCACCAUCUCUUAG
rnacentral:rRNA from 1 species